UUUCUUUCUCUACGAACCUAAAACUACAAACUUCUAUUAUGUAUACGUCUAACACGUUAGAAAAAUGCUAUCUUGAACACGUUAUUAACAGAGAAAUAAGCAAAUCUUGUUAUAGAAUAUCGUGUGAAGUACAGCGAAGAGGAAGAUCAAUGUAUCUUUUUGGCAGGUUACUACUACUGUCCAAUAUUACUUUCGUCUCUACUAACGUUAAUAGUGGUUCACGCACAUGGACUCAUACGGUCAUACCAAUUUCUUUAUUUUAGUCGAUAUUUUUGUUUGUUAUGCGUGCAAAUUGAGUCUCCAUAAGCAAACAAGUUUCGACCUUAUCCUUCUGUGUGACUAAGACCAUCUCCAUCCAUUAGAGUCCCUAAUGGAUUCUUAAGAUUAAAUUAGUGUUUAUUUUUGUGAUUUGAAAGCUUUAGAACCUUUGUUAAUCUAUUUAAUUUUUUUCAUCCUCCAUUGGGAGAAUCUCAUAGAGGUUCAUAAAAAUUAAUUUUUUUUAAAAAAAAUUUUAAGAUUGAAUGAUUUGAAAGAAAAGGAUACAUAAUUUUUUUUAUUAAAAAUGACAUAAAAACAUAUUACAAAUACAAAUACAAAUCGUAAACGAGAAAAGCCAAUUAGUUGAAAUCUUGAUUUGUUCCAAUUUUUUGCCAUAUAUUCUCAACCAAAUCCGCUUUCAAUUGUUGAUGUGUUGGUUUAUCACGAACUCGGUUCCGAAUGCUCAUCAUAUUGCCGAGAUUUGAAGGCAUAUCUGUAGAAUACGUGAAAUCCACUUAUGAACUUCGGUUUGAAUCCGGAUGUGCGAAAACUAAAAUAUCAAACUGAGUGUACCCAUCUCGUUUGUCUUCUGCUAUCAUAUUACGCAGAAUGAUAUUUGUUCUCAUUAUCUUUCCAAUUUUUAUUUUAUCCCACAAAAGGGCUGGAUUUUUGACAAUGGCAAAUCGAACUUGCAAGACCCCAAAAGCACGCACGACAUCUUUACGUACAGCUUCUUGAUGUGUAGUAAAUAAGGAUGCUUUCGGACCUUGUGGAAGUGGAAUGGAUUGGACAAAAGUAGCUCAUUUUGGAUAAAUAUCAUCUGUGAGAUAGUAAGCCAAAUUGUACUCGUGUCCGUUGACAAUGUAAUUAACUCUUGGAGCUCGACCUUGUAAUAUAUCAUCAAAAACCGGUGAUCGAUCAAGAAUAUUGAUAUCGUUUAAUGUAUCUGGAGGUCCAAAAAACGCAUGUCAUAUCCAGAGAUCUUGUGAAACUACAGCCUCGAAAACAAUGGUUGGCUUUCCUGAUCCACGUGUAUAUUGACAUUUCCAUGCGGUCGGACAAUUCUUCCACUCCCAAUGCAUACAAUCAAUGCUUCCUAUCAUCCCGGAAAAUCUGCGUAACUCUCCAAUAUCGAGUAGUCGUUGAAGAUCUUCUGGUGUGGGUCUUUUUAGAUACUCAUCUCCAAAUAAAUUUAUGAUUCCUUCAACAAAAUGUUCCAAGCAUAAAAGCGCGGUGGUUUCACCAAGUCGGAGGUAUUCGUCGACCGCAUCAGCUGGGCAACCAUAUGCCAUCAUACGAAUUGCUGCUGUUGCCUUUUGUAACGGAGAGUGACCGAACCUUCCAGUAGCAUCUCUUCUUUGUUGAAAGUAUGAUAUUUCAGCGGAGAUUCGAUCAACAAUACGCAUGAACAAGGCCUUGUUCAUUCUAAAACGACGUCGAAACAUGUGAGACGGAUAUGUUGCAUCUUCGCUAAAAUAGUCAUUCCAUAACUGCAUGUGUCCUUGUUCUCGUUGUCUUUCAAUGUAAGCUCGUUUCUUUUUUUACCUUGAUGCUUCUUGACGAUUUUCAUUACGAAUUAGGAGAUUUUCGAAUUCUUGAUCGAAAAUUUGAUCGAACUUUUCAUCCAUCAUGUCCUCAAAAUUAUUAGAAGAAGAAGCAUCCAUUUAGAAAAGUAAUUUUGAAUUUAGAAAUGUUUUGAAAUUUUGGAUUGGUGAGAUGAUAAGAGAAAUUUUGGAUUUGUGAGAUGAUAAGAGAUAAACGGGAGACA
rnacentral:lncRNA from 1 species